rnacentral:rRNA from 1 species
UCCUACGGGGGGCAGCAGUGGGGAAUAUUGCACAAUGGGGGAAACCCUGAUGCAGCGACGCCGCGUGAGUGAAGAAGUAUUUCGGUAUGUAAAGCUCUGUCAGCAGGGAAGAAAAUGACGGUACCUGACCAAGAAGCCCCGGCUAACUACGUGACAGCAGCCGCGGUAAUACGUAGGGGGCAAGGGUUAUCCGGAUUUACUGGGUGUAAAGGGAGCGUAGACGGCAGGGCAAGUCUGGAGUGAAAGCCCGGGGCCCAACCCCGGGACUGCUCUUGGAACUGCGUGGCUAGAGUGCAGGAGGGGCG